rnacentral:rRNA from 1 species
UAAAACCAGCACCUCAAGUGGUCAGGAGGAUUAUUGGGCCUAAAGCAUCCGUAGCCUGCUCUGUAAGUUUUCGGUUAAAUCUAUAUGCUCAACGUAUAGGCUGCCGAAAAUACUGCAGUGCUAGGAAGUGGGAGAGGUAGACGGUACUUGAUAGGAAGGGGUAAAAUCCUUUGAUCUAUCGAUGACCACCUGUGGCGAAGGCGGUCUACCAGAACACGUUCGACGGUGAGGGAUGAAAGCUGGGGGAGCAAACCGGAUUAGAUACCCGGGUAGUCCCAGCUGUAAACGAUGCAGACUCGAUGAUGCAUUGGCAUAUAGCCAGUGCAGUGUCGCAGGGAAGCCGUUAAGUCUGCCGCCUGGGAAGUACGUACGCAAGUAUG